UAGACCUCAGAUCAGGCAAGAUCACCCGCUGAAUUUAAGCAUAUAAUUAAGCGGAGGAAAAGAAACUAACAAGGAUUCCCUCAGUAACGGCGAGUGAAGCGGGAAGUGCUCAAACUGAAAAUCCCCAUUCGGGGAAUUGUGGUAUGACGAAACAGGUUCGGUCGAUGUGCGCGGUGUAAGUUCUUUGGAACAUGACACGAUACAGGGUGAGAGUCCCGUCUAUCGCCGCAUGUCACACGAUAAACGAGCGGUUAUCGAUGAGUCGGGUUGCUUGGUCGUGCAGCCCUAAGUGGGUGGUAAAUUCCAUCUAAAGCUAAAUAUAGGCGAGAGACCGAUAGCGAAGAAGUACCGUGAGGGAAAGAUGAAAAGAACUUUGAAAAGAGAGUGAAAAAGUACUUGAAAUUGCUGCGGCGUAAGGGAUGACGGUUGGUAUGUGUAGCGUUGUAUUUACUGUCAUCAUACAUAAGUAUGGUGCGGGUCCUGCAACGUGGCCAUGUGCGUGUGGGUUCGUACUCGUUCGGUUAUUGAGGAUAAAUGUUUGGGUUCUGACGAGGAUGUGCCUGUAUGUGGAGAACAACGUUCUGUGUGUACACUAAAGUUUUCGUUUCCCACUAUUAUUGACAUGCACGAGACGACCGUGAUUCACCCGUCUUGAAACACGGACCAAGGAGUCUAAGAUGUACGCGAGUUGGUUGGUGCGAAACCGACUGGCGCAAUGAAAGUAAUAUUUCGUAUCGGGCCAUCAGUGAAUGUGAGCCGGAGCGUAUAUGUUGGGACCCGAAAGAUGGUGAACUAUGCCUGAGCAAGGUGAAGCCAGGGGAAACUCUGGUGGAGGCCUGAAGCGAUACUGACGUGCAAAUCGUUCGUCUGACUUGGGUAUAGGGGCGAAAGACUAAUCGAACCAUCUAGUAGCUGGUUCCCUCCGAAGUUUCCCUCAGGAUAGCUGGAAUUGAAUACGUAGUUUUAUCCGGUAAAGCUA
rnacentral:rRNA from 1 species